rnacentral:lncRNA from 1 species
ACGGGUUUUCAGCUACUAGGUAUAGCUGGUGAUGGCUGGAGACAUUUUAAACUGUGUGGAGGAUGCUAUAGAAGCAAGGGACAUUGCUAAACACCCUAGAAUAGAAAAUUGGCCGAAGCCAAAGUUUGGAGGAUUUCCCUAAAGCAUCUGAGAUUCAGUUUGAGCAUCUGCAGCCUAAGUGUUGAGCAUCUGUGUUUGGAGCGGGAUCCUGAGAUCUCCUGAGAUUAUGAACCUCAGACAGCCAACAGUUUCACCUGACUCUGAUCCACUGACUAUAAGGGUAGACCCUGAGGUAGGAGAGAGGGGACUUACACCUCUGCUCUCAACGUGGAGAAGGGGCCAAAGAACUUGCCCAGACUUAUGGCAGAAGAUGCAGGGGAUGGCUCAGUAUUCUGGGUAAAAUAAAGAAGAUGGAGCCAAGAUGGGAACAAACCACACAUGAGUGCUGGGAGAGAGAAUAGAGCGGAUUGGAGAAGAACUGAGUCCUCCGAGUUGUUCCAGAAGAGAAAGUUCAACAGGCAGAGUGCAUCUUGGGGA